GCCUAUCUUAGGAUAGGUAGCAGUGUGCCUAGGAGCGCGAGCCCUGCCGGUUGAGCCGUUGUUAGCCGUGGAUAGGCGUUUGUUAGGCUGUAAGAGGGUUGGGGUGACGUCUCAUAAGGUUUGUCAAUCUGCUAUUAGGCUCUAGUUCAAAAACCCUAAAAUGAGUUCAAUUUUCAGAACCAUGUCUAGGAGAUCCAGUGAUUCUCAAGAUACU
rnacentral:lncRNA from 1 species